rnacentral:tmRNA from 1 species
GUCCUUGACCUUUCCUUUCAAUCACCUUACAUCUAGGGCGUCUGCUUAACGGCAGACUACGGCGCUAGAGGCGUGUAUGGAAUAAGCUGACUGGACCCGGGGGCGGUACCCGGCGCCUCCACCAAAAGCCGAUCAGGAUUGGUCGGUUUUUGAGGGGGGCGAAAUAGGAUCGACAGCGGUAGUAAAGAUACAAUGUUGCGCUCGGUGAGCUACCACCGAUAUCGGUGCAAACUUUACUAAAUGCCAACGACAAUCGUAUGGCUCCGGUCGCUGCUGCAGCGUAAGCUGUCGCUUGACCAAAUGAAUUCCUAUGCGGGUGAGUCCGUAUAGGUGAGGUCCGGGGGUACCUAGCAACAGGAACCCCCACU